CUGUUUGGAGGCUGUAAUUCUCAUUCAGGUUGUCCUGAGGAUGAGACCUCAGUGAUUUCACUCUCAGGAAAAGAUGGCAUGGGAUUUCUGAAAAAAGCAGAAGGUUUCUUCUCAAGAUGGCUUUGGGAACAAAUUAUGCUGAAGUGAGUUUGAAAAAUGAACUGAGGUCCUCAGGCGUCAACUCAAAUUCUCCUGCAGUGCUGAGGAUUUAACCCAGGGUGUUUCCAACUGACUUAUAUCCCCAGCCCCCUUAGUGCUUUCAUCUUAAUGGAAGUGACUGCAAGACCCCCAACACCUUUUGUAGUGAUCAUUUUCAGGUUUUGUAUAUCCUAGGCAAAAUCGCUGUAGCAUGAAGCUAUACCCCCAGUUGAGAAAAGGCUUUCUGACCAUAAAAUAGUGACCUAAAAGGUUGAUUGUAUAGUAAAAACAUGAAAGUUGGUCAUAAUGAUUUAUCUUGUAUAGCAUAUUUUAAGUUGGACAUAGUAUUAUUUAAAUAUGUAAUGAAGUAAUGAGCAACCAUAACAA